UACAGAGGGUGCGAGCGUUGUCCGGAAUCACUGGGCGUAAAGGGCGCGUAGGUGGCGGCCCAAGUCCAUGGUGAAAGCUCGAUGCUCAACAUCGAGUCGGCCACGGAUACUGGGUUGCUCGAGCACUGUAGGGGCAGAUGGAAUUCCGGGUGUAGCGGUGGAAUGCGUAGAGAUCCUGAAGAACACCGGUGGCGAAGGCGGUCUGCUGGGCAGUUGCUGACACUGAGGCGCGACAGCGUGGGGAGCAAACAGG
rnacentral:rRNA from 1 species